rnacentral:ncRNA from 1 species
AGGUGCACUUAGCUGUGCUUAAUUGGGAACGUGAGUGUGAAUCUCCGACUGUCCCGCAGCUGUGAACUCCGUUAUUGCCUUGAAGCAUGACAAGCCAUUGCCCGUUUGGGCGAGAAGGCGCUUCAGGGUGGAGGAAAGUCAGAAGACCAGCCUUCCCA